AUUGAACGCUGGCGGCAGGCCUAACACAUGCAAGUCGAGCGGAUGAAGGGAGCUUGCUCCUGGAUUCAGCGGCGGACGGGUGAGUAAUGCCUAGGAAUCUGCCUGGUAGUGGGGGAUAACGUCCGGACACGGGCGCUAAUACCGCAUACGUCCUGAGGGAGAACGUGGGGGAUCUUCGGACCUCACGCUAUCAGCUGAGCCUAGGUCGGAUAAGCUAGUUGGUGGGGUAAAGGCCUACCAAGGCGACGAUCCGUAACUGGUCUGAGAGGAUGAUCAGUCACACUGGAACUGAGACACGGUCCAGACUCCUACGGGAGGCAGCAGUGGGGAAUAUUGGACAAAGGGCGAAAGCCUGAUCCAGCCAUGCCGCGUGAGUGAAGAAGGUCUUCGGAUUGUAAAGCACUUUAAGUUGGGAGGAAGGGCAGUAAGUGAAUACCUUGCUGUUUUGACGGUACCAACAGAAUAAGCACCGGCUAACUUCGUG
rnacentral:rRNA from 1 species